rnacentral:rRNA from 1 species
AAACUGGUUGAUCCUGCCAGUAGUCAUAUGCUUGUCUCAGAGAUUAAGCCAUGCAUGUCUAAGUACAUACCUUAAAACGGUGAAACCGCGAAUGGCUCAUUAAAUCAGCUAUGGUUCCUUAGAUCGUAAACGCUACAUGGAUAACUGUAGUAAUUCUAGAGCUAAUACAUGCCUUGAAUCCCUGACCCGCAAGGGGACGGGUGCAUUUAUUAGAACAGAACCAACCGGGUGCGGCUUCGGCUGUGCCUGUUACAUUCUGUGAUGACUCUGGAUAACUUUACUGAUCGCAGUCGGCCUUGUGUCGGCGACGGAUCUUUCAAAUGUCUGCCCUAUCAAUUUGUUGGUAGGUGAUUUGCCUACCAUGAUGAUAACGGGUAACGGGGAAUCAGGGUUCGAUUCCGGAGAGGGAGCCUGAGAAAUGGCUACCACAUCCAAGGACGGCAGCAGGCGCGAAAAUUACCCACUCCCGGCACGGGGAGGUAGUGACGAAAAAUACGUAUACGGGACUCAAUUGAGGCUCCGUAAUUCGAAUGAGUACAAUUUAAAUCCUUUAACGAGGACCAAUUGGAGGGCAAGUCUGGUGCCAGCAGCCGCGGUAACUCCAGCUCCAAAAGCGUAUAUUAAAGUUGCUGCAGUUAAAAAGCUCGUAGUUGAAUCUGGGUCGUGCGGUCGCAUGCCGUUGCUUGUUCACGGUUUUGGUUACGAUCAGGACCAGUGUUCAGCUCGGUGUAGUGGCUGUGCAGCCUUUCAGCCGUGUCUGUGUUAAACGGGUGCUGGUGGGUUGACGAGUUCGUCUUGUUGACCUGUCGGCAUGCUUCCGGAUGCCUUUAAACGGGUGUCGGGAGCGGACGGCAUCUUUACUUUGAACAUGGAUAACUGUAGUAAUUCUAGAGCUAAUACAUGCCUUGAAUCCCUGACCCGCAAGGGGACGGGUGCAUUUAUUAGAACAGAACCAACCGGGUGCGGCUUCGGCUGUGCCUGUUACAUUCUGUGAUGACUCUGGAUAACUUUACUGAUCGCAGUCGGCCUUGUGUCGGCGACGGAUCUUUCAAAUGUCUGCCCUAUCAAUUUGUUGGUAGGUGAUUUGCCUACCAUGAUGAUAACGGGUAACGGGGAAUCAGGGUUCGAUUCCGGAGAGGGAGCCUGAGAAAUGGCUACCACAUCCAAGGACGGCAGCAGGCGCGAAAAUUACCCACUCCCGGCACGGGGAGGUAGUGACGAAAAAUACGUAUACGGGACUCAAUUGAGGCUCCGUAAUUCGAAUGAGUACAAUUUAAAUCCUUUAACGAGGACCAAUUGGAGGGCAAGUCUGGUGCCAGCAGCCGCGGUAACUCCAGCUCCAAAAGCGUAUAUUAAAGUUGCUGCAGUUAAAAAGCUCGUAGUUGAAUCUGGGUCGUGCGGUCGCAUGCCGUUGCUUGUUCACGGUUUUGGUUACGAUCAGGACCAGUGUUCAGCUCGGUGUAGUGGCUGUGCAGCCUUUCAGCCGUGUCUGUGUUAAACGGGUGCUGGUGGGUUGACGAGUUCGUCUUGUUGACCUGUCGGCAUGCUUCCGGAUGCCUUUAAACGGGUGUCGGGAGCGGACGGCAUCUUUACUUUGAACAAAUUUGAGUGCUCAAAGCAGGCCUAUGUGCCUGAAAAUUCUUGCAUGGAAUAAUGAAAUAGGACUUCGGUUCUAUUUUGUUGGUUUUCGGAUC